AUAUGGAGUAGGAGUGACAAAGAUUAGGACUCAUCCACUUCAAAAAGAGCCAUCUGAAGGUAAUUCACAGUAAAGGGCCUUAUUUACAGUGAUGGAAUGUGUUUUACUGGCUGUGGUGUGAGGUGACAUGUCAUAAUAAAAUUCCACAUUUCCCUGUAUGCUUAAACACCCUUGCAGUCACCACAGGCAGCAGGACACUCCAUGUUUCUGCCAGCUUUAUGUUCUGGGUAAUGAGACAAGAAGUUCAAAAAAGGGUGAUCUUUCUCACAAAAUACAUGGAGCAUUGAGAAAUUUGCUCCCUCAAAAGGCUGCUUGCUAAACAAUGACGGAUGUUAUGACAGAUUCCAAAGAGAAUCAGAAGCACAUUCAUGCUUCCACCAUAUGAUCAGUGUUAUUUCCAACUGUUUUGUUGAAGAGUGGGAAACAGAGACUUGUCCCUGUUGCACACUGUUGAAUGGUGUACCACAAAGGAGACAGGAAACAGCAGCAACUACACUGUGGUUUUCAGAACUACUGUUAUUGUAUUUGAGACCCCAGUUCUUUCAAAUCUCUGACUCGGUGAGGAAAAGCACACAGGGGGCUUCAACUGUCUGUGCCAGACAUCCUUUCUGCUGCCUCAGACUGGAUCACCGUUCUCAGAGUGAGGCCAAAGCCUUUGCCUUCUUCCCUGCAGCCCUUGUGGCACUCGGAUUCACCUGUACUGAACAAGGCAGAGGGGAAGAGAAGGCUUUUGCUUUUAAAUGUGUCAUGACAGACAGAUGAUUCACAUUUAAAACAUGUACAUAAAUAUGUAUAGCUAUAUAAGUAUGUAUAAAUACAUAUAUGUAUGCUUUAUACAGAAGAACUAUAUUAAAAUAAAGGCUAUGAAGAAAAGCUCUUUAAAGUUAGAAAAUGUCAUCAUUAAUUCUGCACAAUGUUUACACGUUCAGUCCCUCUCAGCCAGUAAAGUCAUUCAUGGGUUCAUGGUUUUUUUCUACAAGAUCUUGCCCCAUUAAAGCAGAUGGUUACUUUAAAAUGAAUAAGCAGCUAUUUGUCCAAUACUUGCAGUACAUUCCCUUGCCCUGAGCUUUAUUUAUGGAACACUACAUAAGCUGUGCUUUGAAAAUUUAUUAACUUCAUUCUGGGUUGAAGAUGUUCAAAAUCCUCCAGUAAAAAAGUACUCUUUAUUCAAAACUAAACCUUUCUGUGGCAGACUUUU